rnacentral:rRNA from 1 species
UGGGGAAUAUUGGACAAUGGGCGAAAGCCUGAUCCAGCCAUGCCGCGUGUGUGAAGAAGGUCUUCGGAUUGUAAAGCACUUUAAGUUGGGAGGAAGGGCAUUAACCUAAUACGUUAGUGUUUUGACGUUACCGACAGAAUAAGCACCGGCUAACUCUUUGCCAGCAGCCGCGGUAAUACAGAGGGUGCAAGCGUUUAUCGGAAUUACUGGGCGUAAAGCGCGCGUAGGUGGUUUGUUAAGUUGGAUGUGAAAUCCCCGGGCUCAACCUGGGAACUGCAUUCAAAACUGACUGACUAGAGUAUGGUAGAGGGUGGUGGAAUUUCCUGUGUAGCGGUGAAAUGCGUAGAUAUAGGAAGGAACACCAGUGGCGAAGGCGACCACCUGGACUAAUACUGACACUGAGGUGCGAAAGCGUGGGGAGCAAACA